rnacentral:lncRNA from 1 species
AUGCUAGAAAACAUGAUGCAAACUGUUGAGACGAAGACAUUUUGUGGAGUAAUUUUCCUCGACAAGGACGUUACAGAAGUUGUGCCGAGGUCAUGGGUUAAAGGUGAUGAAUGUUUUUGGCCAACAUUCAUUUCCGAGGAAAAAACCCAAAAGGCCAUAAAGAGGCAUGAAAUGCCAGGCCUUGGCUGGAAAAUCUUCAAAAUAAGAACACUCUUUGAAAAAGUAGAUGACUUCAGUAAGGCAAGGCAAAAGCUGAAGGACUACAACAGAAAUGGAACGCCAGUCCUCCAGUCAGAGGAUGAGGGCUCCAUGGCAAAAACGAGAAGAAAAGCGACACAGUAUGUACAUUAUAGAUAAUUGUUGUAUUACUGCAAAAGCUAUGGGUUUAGGGUACAAAAAAAGCCUUUGUUCAUGCCUGCCCAUUGAAUGAUGCUAUUGCCUUGUCAUUACAAUUUGACCUCUGUCUUCACUAGUUACCCAGGAUUUGAAAACGGCAGUACUGACUCUGAAACUGAGCAGACUCCAAAAAGAAGACCAGAGUCUCGGCCUCGGCCUCGGCCUCAACCUAUCCCUAUUAGCGCUACCCUUCCUAGUCUCCCUCCAGCCCCCCUCUGUAUGUUUUGAUUUGAUCAGAGGCGGACAGAGUACACAGCUUCAUUACUUGAGUAAAAGUACAGAUACCCCCUGCUAAAUUUUACUCAAGUACAAGUAAAAGUACUACAGUCAGAUGUCUACUUAAGUAAAAGUACUGAAGUACUUGUUUUUAAAAGUACUUGAGUAUCAAGAGUACAAGAGUACAUUUUCUAAAAAUUGCAUUACUACUGCCACAGUGCUUACAUUUAUGUACAGAAACGUCCUACAUGGAGUUAUGAAAAAUUUUAAUGUUAAUACCUUGCAGAAUGUAAAAGGAAUUGAAAGUAAAAUCAAGUCAUUUUCAUCUUUUUACCAUGUUGCUUUAUUUAACAUUUCUCACUUGCGCACAAUGGCAACGCUCUGACAAACCUCUGCUAGAGUUUUAAUGGAAUUUUUGCACCCACAUUUGAACCUGACUGUUAAACAACCGUUGUUUCAUAUGAAGGACUAGACUUUAGUUUUGAAAAUCAUAGUUCAGUUCAGUUCACUUAUGUAUUUUUUUAAUUCAUCUUUAUUUUUUACACAAUUAUUUUUAAAAGACAUUUUGUGGAGUAAUUUUCCUUCGACGAGGACGUUACAGAAGUUGUGCCGAGG